GGACCUGAUAUCAGGCAAGAUUACCCGCUGAACUUAAGCAUAUCAAUAAGCGGAGGAAAAGAAACUAACAAGGAUUCCCCUAGUAACGGCGAGUGAAGCGGGAAGAGCUCAAGCUUAAAAUCUCCGUGCAAGUUUUGCGCGGCGAAUUGUAGUCUAUAGAGGCGUGGUCAGCGUGGGCGCUUGGGGCAAGUUCCUUGGAA
rnacentral:ncRNA from 1 species